rnacentral:rRNA from 1 species
UACGAAGGGCGCAAGCGUUAUUCGGAAUUACUGGGCGUAAAGCGUGCGUAGGCGGUUGUUUAAGUCUGUUGUGAAAGCCCUGGGCUCAACCUGGGAACUGCAGUGGAAACUGGACGACUAGAGUGUGGUAGAGGGUAGCGGAAUUCCUGGUGUAGCAGUGAAAUGCGUAGAGAUCAGGAGGAACAUCCAUGGCGAAGGCAGCUACCUGGACCAACACUGACACUGAGGCACGAAGGCGUGGGGAGCAAACAGG